rnacentral:rRNA from 1 species
ACGAUGAUCACUAGGUGUUGGGGAAGCAAUUCCUUGGUACCGCAGCUAACGCGUGAAGUGAUCCGCCUGGGGAGUACGGCCGCAAGGUUAAAACUCAAAGGAAUUGACGGGGACCCGCACAAGCGGUGGAUGAUGUGGAUUAAUUCGAUGCAACGCGAACAACCUUACCUACCCUUGACAUGUCCGGAAGCCUGCUGAAAGGCGGGUGUGCUCGUAAGAGAACUGGAACACAGGUGCUGCAUGGCUGUCGUCAGCUCGUGUCGUGAGAUGUUGGGUUAAGUCCCGCAACGAGCGCAACCCUUGUCCUUAGUUGCUACGCAAGGGCACUCUAAGGAGACUGCCGGUGACAAACCGGAGGAAGGUGGGGAUGACGUCAAGUCCUCAUGGCCCUUAUGGGUAGGGCUUCACACGUCAUACAAUGGACGGUACAGAGGGUCGCCAACCCGCGAGGGGGAGCCAAUCCCAGAAAGCCGUUCGUAGUCCGGAUUGCAGUCUGCAACUCGACUGCAUGAAGUCGGAAUCGCUAGUAAUCGCGGAUCAGCAUGUCGCGGUGAAUACGUUCCCGGGUCUUGUACACACCGCCCGUCACACCAUGGGAGUGGGAUGUACCAGAAGUAGAUAGGCUAACCGCAA